rnacentral:rRNA from 1 species
GGUCGCCUCCGCGCGCCCGACCUCAACCCUUUGUCUACCCGACCUUAUUGUUGCUUCGGCAGGCCCGCCGCCCCCCGUGGGUGGCCGCCGGGGGUUUAACCGCCCCGGGCCCGCGCCUGUCGACGGCCCCAACCACAAACUCUUGUACUUAAAACGUGUCGUCUGAGUUAACAAACAAAAUAAAUUAAAACUUUCAACAACGGAUCUCUUGGUUCUGGCAUCGAUGAAGAACGCAGCGAAAUGCGAUAAGUAAUGCGAAUUGCAGAAUCCGUGAGUCAUCGAAUCUUUGAACGCACAUUGCGCCCUCUGGUAUUCCGGAGGGCAUGCCUGUUCGAGCGUCAUUAUCACCCCUCAAGCCCGGCUUGUUGUUGGACGCGGCGGCGCCGUCUGCGCCUCGCCCGUCUCAAAGAUAAUGACGGCGUCUGCGAGGACCCCUGUACACUGAGCUUUCGGGCACGUACUAGGUGUGGAAUCCAGACCCGGUCACCGUCCCCCUAGGGACAAAUUUUUAACCAGGUUGACCUCGGAUCAGGUAGGAAUACCCGCUGAACUUAAGCAUAUCAAUAAGCGGAGGAAAAGAAACCAACAGGGAUUGCCUUAGUAACGGCGAGUGAAGCGGCAACAGCUCAAAUUUGAAAUCUGGCUCUUUCAGGGCCCGAGUUGUAAUUUGGAGAGGAUGUUUCGGGCACGGUCCGGGCUUAAAUUUCUUGGAACAGAAUGUCACGGAGGGUGAGAAUCCCGUCUGGAGCUCGGACACGACCCAUGUGAAACUCCUUCGACGAGUCGAGUUGUUUGGGAAUGCAGCUCUAAAUGGGUGGUAAAUUUCAUCUAAAGCUAAAUAUUGGCCAGAGACCGAUAGCGCACAAGUAGAGUGAUCGAAAGAUGAAAAGCACUUUGAAAAGAGAGUUAAACAGUACGUGAAAUUGUUGAAAGGGAAGCGCUGGCAACCAGACUUGCGCGUCGGGGUUCCCCCUUGCUUCUGCCUGGGUUACUCCCCGGCGUUCAGGCCAACAUCGGUUUCGGGGGUCGGUUAAAGGCCCUGGGAAUGUACCUACCCUCCGGGGUAGACUUAUAGCCCAGGGUGUCAUGCGGCCUCCCGGGACCGAGGAACGC